UACGGGGGGGCAAGCGUUGUUCGGAAUUACUGGGCGUAAAGGGCUCGUAGGCGGCCAACUAAGUCAGACGUGAAAUCCCCAGGCUCAACCUGGGAACUGCGUCUGAUACUGGAUGGCUUGAAUCCGGGAGAGGGAUGCAGAAUUCCAGGUGUAGCGGUGAAAUGCGUAGAUAUCUGGAGGAAUACCGGUGGCGAAGGCGGCAUCCUGGACCGGCAUUGACGCUGAGGAGCGAAAGCUAGGGGAGCAAACAGG
rnacentral:rRNA from 1 species